AUACGGAGGGGGCAAGCGUUGUUCGGAAUUACUGGGCGUCAAGCGCGCGUAGGUGGGCUGGUUAGUUGGGGGUGAAAUCCCGGGGCUUAACCCCGGAACUGCCUUCAAUACUGCCAGUCUAGAGUUCGAGAGAGGUGAGUGGAAUUCCUAGUGUAGAGGUGAAAUUCGUAGAUAUUAGGAAGAACACCAGUGGCGAAGGCGGCUCACUGGCUCGAUACUGACGCUGAGGUGCGAAAGCGUGGGGAGCAAACAGGAUUAGAAACCCCAGUAGUCC
rnacentral:rRNA from 1 species